UUCUCAUUUAUCAAAUCAUAAUCAAUUUAUGGAUUCCUAACUUGACUCAAAUCAAAUCAAUCUUUCUCAAUAUCAAAAUGUAUCAAUUCAUUAAAUCAUGACAACAUCAAUAACUUUGAGGAAAUAUCAAGACUCAUUGUAACAACUCAAUCUCAUGAAUCAAUAUACUCAAUAAUCCAGUUUGUCAUAAGGAAGCUUAAAGCUUGACACAUAUCUUGAAAGCACUUGAAAUAUCAACUCA
rnacentral:lncRNA from 1 species